AGUGGUGUGCAUGACUUGUACAUGAAAAAAUGAAUAUGAACUCUUUCUUUUUGAACCCUGUGCAUACUCUUUGCUAGAAGCUUUGCUUGUCUGGUUUUGUAGUUUGACGUUAGUUACUGGCUAACACUGAAUGCUCUAAGUCUUGGAGUUUGACGUUAAAUGCUGAAAAUGGGUUUGCUGGAUAUCGAGAUGAACUACUGAAAUGCAAUGUUUUAGAGCAUUCAAUGUUAGUUACUGGCUACAUAUUUGUCGAAUAAUACCAUUAUCUUAACCACCAUGGUCCAUGUUGUCAUUAACCAACAAAACCGCCCCAAAAAGGAAGAUGAAAUCCCAAAGCCUAAUAGUGCAAUUGUUUUUUACACUAUAUACUGUAAUGUGUUCAUUGUUUAGAUUAGUCUUCUUUGUGGGGCAGUGGGCCUCACCUCUUAUCAAGUAAGUCUCUCAGCCGAUAUUAGGGACCAAGAAGAUUUUUGGAGCUUCCCACUGAAAUUACUCUCAGCCUUUGAUGUACAAAUAGUGCUCUUUCCCUUUCUUUCCCCUUUUAUGGUGUAAAGGUAGCAAAAACAACCUCUAAGUAAUUGUGUCAGCCAAAGUCGAAAGAGUUCGAGAUAGCAAUGGUCAAUAAGUAGAAACUAGGUUAGUUUACAUCCAUGUAUCUGCCCACAAUAGUUUUUUUUAGAAUGACAUUUUGACUACCCAUAAUCUUGUUUGCUGCCUCUCUGAUCUUAUAGUACUUUUUUUUAGAGAUACCAGCUCCAUUUUUUGCUGCUGCAAUAAUAGCAAAACAGAUGGGUGAAAAACUCUACUAGCCAUCAAUCAUGCAUGAACCAAUUUACUUUCCACUCCACAAGUCCAUAUGGUUUAUGCUAGAAUGUACUUAGUUUAUGUGAACACCAUCUGAGAUCUUCUUAGAAAAGGAGUGAACUUACCUUUUGCUGAAGAUGGAGACGUUGGUUGGAAUUUAAUUGAAGUUUUUGUUCUACUGGCUAACUCCUUUUUUGUAUCAAGACAUGUAUAGCUAGGCAUGCAACUUAGUUUUGAGAGAUUUGAAUCUGGAUAUGAUCUCUUUGCAAAUGUGUUAGCAACUGGAGGAUAGCAAGUAUGCAGACUACAAUUGACGAGUUAAAGAAAAACCAAGUAAGUAGCUUAUCAUUUUCUUCACUGGUGUUAUUUUGUACUACUUUGAGUAACGAACUUUUGUUUGUUUUCCUUUUUUGAACUUUCUAGGUUCAGAAUCCUGCAACAACUGAAGGACACCAACUACACCUAUUGUUUCUCUGUCGGUAAAAAGUUAUUUACUUUAGCAUUUUAGACUACGAUUUCAAGAAUGUAUGUUCAAGUGUUGAAUUUUCUAGUUAUUGAAAAGUUGCUAUUGAAAUGUCCUGAAACUUAAACAAAAGACAUAGACUAAGUGACUGAAAAACCUAAGUGACUAGGGCUACAUCACCCAUUUGACCAAGUAAGUUCAGUUAAAAAAUCAGGACGCUUCCUUUGUGACAACAACAGUCAAGUGGUGGAGGCAGAUAUCACAGUAGCAACAGAUUUUGACAACUCCCCAAUAGCAGCAAUUGUAGUAUCAGAUUUAGACUGUACCCCAAACAGAUUUAUAGUAGUAUCAGAUUUGGACCAUACUCCCUAAGAGUUUUGCACCAGCAUCACAGAAGUAGAUUAAUUUAAUUGAGAAGGCAACCAACAUCAGUCAUACCCCUGUAUAUCACACCCUCAUAGACAUGUCAGAUCCCCCAAAAUACUAUCCCCUAGUACUCAAACCCACAAGCAUAGAGAACCAACUAAACAUUGAAGGACGAAAGCUAUAAGGUUAUCUAGAGUGCUUUUAAUGAACUGCAAUUAUCACUACAACAAAUAGUGCUUUCAAUAGCAGAAGAUAAUAGCUUUUUUGGGACUAUGCUGUGAUAGGUGAGGCAUUCGUUCCUUGCCUUUUGAAAGAAACUGUAUAAAACUAGUAUGACUUUUCAGCAACAAGAUUUGAUAGCUAAAUUUUGGAUGCCCGUGCGCUUCUCAUCCGUGGUUGUUCCUUCUAAAAUUUUAGAAGUUCUACUUUCCCAAAGUUCUAGGUUUUAAUAAUGGGUCUUCGUCCAAAACAUUGCUCUCCCUAAAUCUAGUGCUAGUAAGCUUAAAUUGUCUCUGAAUCACAUCGCGUGAGAACCCUUUCAUCACUCCAGAGGCCAUUCUUCUCCACCCUCGCCUUUGAAGCAGCGGUUCCCGCUGGUCUCUCUCUCUCUCUCUCUCUCUCUCUCUCUCUCUGUGUAGCUAUUUACAAUGUGAACAUACAUACAGAGUAUAUUGUUUUGUAUACCCAUGUAUGCGAUUAAUUUUUUUCUUGGGAUAUUUUUAGUACUGGUGAUUUGAGCAGCAUAGAACAAUAUUCUUGAAUGAAACUUGUUGCUAGAGUAAUAAAGUUACCAUUUGAGCACCCAUGAUAGGAGUGGAAAAACUAUUUUCUUGUAAAAGAAUUUCUACCAACAUAACUUACAAUUACAGAGAACUUAAAGUCCCUUUAGAAUUGUGGUUGGGGCUUGAGCAGACGACCAUCAUGCAAAGGUUGUGUUUGUGUGAUUGAAGGAUUUUGAAAGCAAAUGGAAUGAUCAUUUCUUGGCCUCUCAUAUUAGAAUGUGUGUAGUGAAACUCUAAAGGUCCUCUAUUGGAAUUUUUCAUGAGGAAUUUUCUUUAUCAUGCUAACAUUGUGGGGAACAAUCGAGAGGUUCAUUUGCACGUUACUAAACAGUCAACUAGAACAACAUUCACGAUGUAGGUAGACUAGGCGAUGAAUAAUCCUAGUCUUUUGUUCUUAUAUGUACAAUAGUCAUGCUAAGGGUUCAAUAACUGCAUAUGAAUGUGAUAGAUGUGGUGGGAAUCUUUUGUAGGGCCUUGGAAGUUUGAAUUGAACUUUCGCAUGUGGUUCUCCUCUGAAUGCUGCCAUCAUGAUUGAUUUGCAUUUGAGAUCUACAUUGGAGCUUAACUUGAAUGUUAAUGUCCUCGUUGAGAGUACAAAAUGAACAAGAGAAGCGAUGCUCAUUGCAGAGGACAAAUUGAAGCGUUGCAUAAAUUGUUUAUCAGUCGACAUUUGUAUAGGUUUUUUUUUGUCUUUUCUUUCUUUGGAUAUAUUUUUUUCGGAUAUGGACAUUAGUAUCUUGACUUUGUUAUGUCAAGUUUUCACUUUUAUCUUUUGAUGUAAUUUAUGUUGGACGAAUUGCUAAUUUCUCGGUUUUAUGAUAUUGGCUUAAAAGUUCAAUGAUA